AUUGAACGCUGGCGGCAUGCUUUACACAUGCAAGUCGAACGGCAGCACGGGGGCAACCCUGGUGGCGAGUGGCGAACGGGUGAGUAAUAUAUCGGAACGUACCCGGAAAUGGGGGAUAACGUAGCGAAAGUUACGCUAAUACCGCAUAUGCCCUAAGGGGGAAAGCGGGGGAUUCGCAAGAACCUCGCGUUUUCGGAGCGGCCGAUAUCGGAUUAGCUAGUAGGUGAGGUAAAGGCUCACCUAGGCGACGAUCCGUAGCUGGUCUGAGAGGACGACCAGCCACACUGGAACUGAGACACGGCCCAGACUCCUACGGGAGGCAGCAGUGGGGAAUUUUGGACAAUGGGCGCAAGCCUGAUCCAGCCAUGCCGCGUGAGUGAAGAAGGCCUUCGGGUU
rnacentral:rRNA from 1 species